AGGACAAGUAAAGAGACUCUCAAAAGACAACUCUCAGAACUGAUUCAGAAAGUGACAAGAAUGAUGGGAUAAAACCCAUCAGAGAAACCCACAGGGCAGCAGCCAAAAUCACUGGAUCAUGGUCACUCAUCAUCCAGGUGCCUUAGAUUAAACUGUGCUCAUUAUAAUACUAAAUUCUCUACCCAGCAGGUGUUCCCAAACACCAUGUAUUGAGCACACAAUCUAUAAAGAAGCAUGAUCUCCAACGGAGGAUCCUUAGAUAUGUGCCUAUCUCUACAUGUGACAAGGAGUCUUUUCUAUAUGAAUAUAAUACUUCUUCUUCUUGGGGAAUCCUUUGGCCACCAACACAAGGGAAGUGAGUGAGCCAUUCAUUAGCUGUCAGGAGCCCCAUCUUUCUGGCUAAGUUGAUGGCUAAGAAGUGCAGACAAACCAACACAACAGAGCCCUCCCUUGAGUUCUGUCUGAAGAGUUGGGAAGAAGAGUUCUGUUUGCUUUGGGAGAACUGGUGUAAGAAUAAUGGAAGCCUGAAGCUACCACUGAAUGCUGUCCUGACUUCUUUGAUGUACCAUGGAAAGACAAAGCCUGAGAAGGAAGCUAGCUGUGAGGAAAGAGAGCAGAAAUAAUCAGUAAUUAGAGGCAUAACCUCAUGAUGUUCAA